GGUUCAAAGGGGUUCAGCCAUUCUUCUACAAUUGUGAUUCUCAAUGCAAACAACAUGGCAAAGCGUCUAGAGGUCCUUCAAUUUACUUUUUAAUGUUUUAUGAAAAGGUAUGAAACUUCUGUUCCUCCAGCAACAAGUUUUUUUCUUCAUAAUUUGAACUUCUGACCAAAAGAUAUUCCUUUAAAUUUUUAGUGUUUGCACCAUUCUGGUGUUAUCUAUAACAAUUCUAUUACCCCAUUCUUUUCUGUGGAGUCAAUGGAACUGUUGCCCAUGAAUUCAUUGUAGACUUGAGGGGGUUUGAGGUGCUUAAACCAUCUUAACUGUCACUCAUUCAUUUAGUUCACUAUUUUCCUGACCCUUUUAUUUGCUGCAAUUUGAAUUAUUGCAGACAACUGCUGGUAUAGAGCAUAAAGAUUUUGCCAAAUAUAUUAUGGAUUCCAUGCACCAACACAAUGUCUUGGUCAGUGCCAGGAACACUGAUACGUGAAUCCACAGAAAGUGAAAGCAAGGCUGGACUGGAUCGAUUCUACUAUACUCUUUUCUCUGAAAGGGAAGAAAUUGCACGGUUUGAGAGUGGAAAGCUGAUAUUAACAAUAAUCUCCUGAAGCAUAAACAUCCCAAAUUGCUUGAGUGCAGUUCUAAGAAUUCAUUCACCUAAUUGAAUGAGUCGAUUUUUUCAGGGUGCUCCUCAUCCUCCAUCUCUGCUUAUGGGUGAUGCAUCGAACAAACUCUACUUGAGGGAAUACGCAUCUUUCCCUGCUUCUUGGCUACGAGCUUCGAUUCUCAUUCAUCUGGUUUCUAUUAGCAGGAAGAUACUUGAGAGUGACCAUAAUGUUGUGUGGUUCAUUCACUAGGAUGCGUCAACUAUUCUCAUAUGCACUCUUCUUCAUUCGUCACAAGUGUCUGAAGAAGCUACAGCAGCCACUGCAUAGGGAAGUCUUCUCCGGCC